rnacentral:rRNA from 1 species
CUACGUGCCAGCAGCCGCGGUAAUACGUAGGGCGCGAGCGUUGUCCGGAAUUAUUGGGCGUAAAGAGCUUGUAGGCGGUUUGUCGCGUCUGCUGUGAAAGGCCGGGGCUUAACUCCGUGUAUUGCAGUGGGUACGGGCAGACUAGAGUGCAGUAGGGGAGACUGGAAUUCCUGGUGUAGCGGUGGAAUGCGCAGAUAUCAGGAGGAACACCGAUGGCGAAGGCAGGUCUCUGGGCUGUAACUGACGCUGAGAAGCGAAAGCAUGGGGAGCGAACAGGAUUAGAUACCCUGGUAGUCCAUGCCGUAAACGUUGGGCACUAGGUGUGGGGGACAUUCCACGUUUUCCGCGCCGUAGCUAACGCAUUAAGUGCCCCGCCUGGGGAGUACGUACGCAAGUAUGAAACUCAAAGGAAUUGACGGGGACCCGCACAAGCGGUGGAGCAUGUGGUUUAAUUCGACGCAACGCGAGGAACCUUACCAGCGUUUGACAUC